rnacentral:tRNA from 1 species
GCGCCGGUGGUGUAAUGGCGCAGAGCAUUCCCGCCCGGUCAGAGGGAGGUGCGGGUUCGAGUCCCGCCUGGCGCU